CCUACGGGAGGCAGCAGUGGGGAAUAUUGCACAAUGGACGAAAGUCUGAUGCAGCAACGCCGCGUGGAGGAUGACACAUUUCGGUGCGUAAACUCCUUUUAUAUGAGAAGAUAAUGACGGUAUUAUAUGAAUAAGCACCGGCUAACUCCGUGCCAGCAGCCGCGGUAAU
rnacentral:rRNA from 2 species